rnacentral:lncRNA from 1 species
UCAUGUGUCGUCGAUACUUGCUUUCGGCACAUAAACCAUUAUUUUGUUUUCUCCAUUAACCAUAUGAUCGGGAAAUAUUUGAGUGAUAUCGUCUCUCAUAAUGAUUAAUAAAAUAUGAACGUAAUUUUUUUGUGCAAUCAAACCACACAAAUACUUAGGUUGUAACCAAUUCUUUAGAGUCAAUCCAAAGACAUAUACCAUAAGUAACAAAACUAUAAUAUAAACCCAUCAAAAGCAUCAUCAUAAAUAUCUCUCCUUUACUACUUCCAAGAUCAGCACAAACAAUAGGAUUGCCAAAAAUUUGCCAAAGGAUUGAGGUUGCCCUGUUUUCUUUUUGUGAAGAAAGAAGAAGAAAACACCAACUUCAUAUCAUCUCACCAUACGUCGGGUUCAAGUCCCAACACCAACCACCCGGCUGUCACCCUCCUUUUCAUCUUUUUUUUCGGAUCAUGAACUUGAUAUUUUUUUCAUAUCGAUCGUAAAAGAAAUUUGCAAAUGAUAUUCUUUUCAUUUUUCUUCGUGGUCGUGAACUUGAUUUUCUUUCUCAUAUUGAUCGUGGAAGAGACUUAUGAUGAGUGAGAUGGUUUUGAG